UACGUAGGGGGCUAGCGUUAUCCGGAAUUAUUGGGCGUAAAGCGCGCGCAGGCGGUUUCUUAAGUCUGAUGUGAAAGCCCACGGCUCAACCGUGGAGGGUCAUUGGAAACUGGGAAACUUGAGUGCAGAAGAGGAAAGUGGAAUUCCACGUGUAGCGGUGAAAUGCGUAGAGAUGUGGAGGAACACCAGUGGCGAAGGCGACUUUCUGGUCUGUAACUGACGCUGAGGCGCGAAAAGCGUGGGGAGCAAACAGG
rnacentral:rRNA from 1 species